rfam:Candidatus Micrarchaeota archaeon CG1_02_60_51 cg1_0.2_scaffold_3247_c, whole genome shotgun sequence.
GCCUCCGUAGCUCAGCGGUAGAGCGACUGCCUCGUAAGCAGUAGGUCGUGAGUUCAAAUCUCAUCGGAGGCU